AUAUGUCCCAUUUCCCACCUGUAUGCACUUGCAUCUUGGCUUCGAACAAUGGAUACUUGGGGACUGGACACUUCCCCAUGAGAACUGACUCAUAGAGGACUAGACACAAGAUACCUCAGCCUUUUCUGUGUCAUUUUGAACUAUCUUGCCAGCCCUGUUCAGCAGAGGAUCUACAUAUUCCAAGUACUUCCACUGAAUUUCUGACCAUAAAAAUUAGUAAAUAAAAAUGCAGAAAUAAAUGAAACAUACAGAUUGUUGGCACUUCAGGUUUAAGACUUUGUGUGGGGUUUUUUUUUCCCUCCAUGUGGAAAAUAAAGUUUUUCAUUGUCUAUCU